rnacentral:rRNA from 1 species
AACGAACGCUGGCGGCAUGCCUAACACAUGCAAGUCGAACGAGGCCCUUCGGGGUUUAGUGGCGCACGGGUGCGUAACGCGUGGGAAUCUGCCCUUUGGUUCGGAAUAACAGCUGGAAACGGCUGCUAAUACCGGAUGGUGACGAGAGUCCAAAGAUUUAUCGCCAGAGGAUGAGCCCGCGUUGGAUUAGGUAGUUGGUGGGGUAAAGGCCUACCAAGCCGACGAUCCAUAGCUGGUCUGAGAGGAUGAUCAGCCACACUGGGACUGAGACACGGCCCAGACUCCUACGGGAGGCAGCAGUGGGGAAUAUUGGACAAUGGGCGCAAGCCUGAUCCAGCAAUGCCGCGUGAGUGAUGAAGGCCCUAGGGUUGUAAAGCUCUUUUACCCGGGAAGAUAAUGACUGUACCGGGAGAAUAAGCCCCGGCUAACUCCGUG